rnacentral:rRNA from 1 species
GACGAACCGUGCGAACGUUGUUCGGAAUCACUGGGCUUAAAGGGCGCGUAGGCGGCUCCGAAAGUCCGGGGUGAAAGCCCCCAGCUUAACUGGGGAAGUGCCUCGGAUACUGCGGAGCUCGAGGGAGGUAGGGGCGGAUGGAACUUCCGGUGGAGCGGUGAAAUGCGUUGAUAUCGGAAGGAACAUCAGUGGCGAAAGCGACUUCCUGGACCAAUACUGACGCUCAUGUGCGAAAGCGUGGGGAGCAAACAGG